GAUGAACGCUGGCGGCGUGCCUAAUACAUGCAAGUCGAGCGAACGGACGAGAAGCUUGCUUCUCUGAUGUUAGCGGCGGACGGGUGAGUAACACGUGGAUAACCUACCUAUAAGACUGGGAUAACUUCGGGAAACCUGAGCUAAUACCGGAUAAUAUUUUGAACCGCAUGGUUCAAAAGUGAAAGACGGUCUUGCUGUCACUUAUAGAUGUAUCCGCGCUGCAUUAGCUAGUUGGUAAGGUAACGGCUUACCAAGGCAACGAUGCUUAUCCGCCCUGAAAGGUUGAUGAGCCACACUGGAACUGGAGCACGGUCCUGACUCCUACGGGAGGCAGCAGUAGGGCAUCUACCGCAAUGGGCGAAAGCCUGACGGAGCAACGCCGCGUGAGUGAUGAAGGUCUUCUGAUCGUAAAACUCUGUUAUUAGGGAAGAACAUAUGUGUAAGUAACUGUGCACAUCUUGACGGUACCUAAUCAGAAAGCCACGGCUAACUACGUG
rnacentral:rRNA from 1 species